rnacentral:rRNA from 1 species
AUUGAACGCUGGCGGCAGGCCUAACACAUGCAAGUCGAGCGGAAGAAGGGAGCUUGCUCCUGGAUUCAGCGGCGGACGGGGGAGUAAUGCCUAGGAAUCUGCCUGGUAGUGGGGGAUAACGUCCGGAAACGGGCGCUAAUACCGCAUACGUCCUGAGGGAGAAAGUGGGGGAUCUUCGGACCUCACGCUAUCAGAUGAGCCUAGGUCGGAUUCGCUAGUUGGUGGGGUAAAGGCCUACCAAGGCGACGAUCCGUAACUGGUCUGAGAGGAUGAUCAGUCACACUGGAACUGAGACACGGUCCAGACUCCUACGGGAGGCAGCAGUGGGGAAUAUUGGACAAUGGGCGAAAGCCUGAUCCAGCCAUGCCGCGUGUGUGAAGAAGGUCUUCGGAUUGUAAAGCACUUUAAGUUGGGAGGAAGGGCAGUAAGUUAAUACCUUGCUGUUUUGACGUUACCAACAGAAUAAGCACCGGCUAACUUCGUG